rnacentral:misc_RNA from 1 species
GUUUUUCUUCCAUUUAUUUAUGUUAUAACAGUUUGCUGAAUGUAAAUAGCUGUAGUUAUUCUUCUUGCAUGCUCUUUUUGUGGGAAAUUUUCUGUGCAACACUGUAAAUGUAAGACUGCAAUUUUUUUGACCACUCCUCUGGUUGGUGUGUGUAUUUCUUUUCCUUAAAUUAAUCAUUUUUUAAGGCCAGAAAUUAUUCCAUGAUGUCUACAUGCUUCUUAAUCUUUU